ACAUGCUUAGUAACUUAGUAUUGUUUUGGCCGAAAAGGGAAGGGUACGAUUUUGGAUUUCGGUCGAAAAGGGAAGUGAACGAUUUUGGUUAUUUCCUACUUUUGUUGGAAAUCUAUUUCCGCUCAAAAAAGUUAACAUUUUUAAAAUUUUUGAUUAAUAAUAAUAAAAUAAGUAAGUAUCUACACAUACAAACCCAACAAGGCCCAGGGAGGAGCGAUCGCCCCUAUUGCCCCCUCUUGUAUACGCGCCUGCAAAUUUGCUAUAUCUUCGCUAUUUUUCUGUAAACCUAUAAUAACGUAUAGUGGUUUUUCCAGUUUGGAAGCGGUUUUCAAAUUCCAAACAACUUUUUUCGAGUUACCAAGUUCCGGAUAUUCAUAUAAUCAUAUUAUGUUUCAUGUGACCUAAAUGGUAUAAAAAGCCUUUUUUUCAUUUUCUAUGUUUUUCAUUAUCAUCUACGCUCACAUAUGAGACUUUCCAAAUUAUUUUUUAAUGUCUAGUACAGCAGCAGUUGUUGAUAAUGCUGUUCCCGCGAUAAAAAAAAAGAUUACACCACACAGAUCGUUCCGGUACUGACAAGCAUACGAUAAUAAUAAUAAAACUAAAAUAUAUAAUGAAAAUUUUUUAUAUAGGUAUACAGCUACCAGGAUACUUUUCCAACAAUGUGCAUUUUCACGACAACAAC